AACGAGCACACACGGUUUAUACGUCCAACCAUAAAUUUUAAUGAAGCUAGAGAUACACAGAAGAAAGUUGGAUAGAAUAGAAAGAAAAUUACGACAUUGAAUAGACCUAUAAACUUCAAUAAAUGGAUAUAUAACUGCAAUAAAAGAUGUCACAAAAGAUUCUCUACGAAAAAAACUCAAGAGUGUUAAAGAAUAUCCUAAAUGAAAGUUUAUGGUGAUGAAAGAGAACUCGAUUCAGUUCAGGACCACCUGUCAUCUAAAAAAAAGGAAACAAAAUGCAGACGAUUGGAGACAUUGGCGUUAGAGUCACAAACUUUUGUUAAAAGUUCUUGAACUCAAUAUCAUUUCGUGAAGUUGAACUUUAGAUGCAGUCAUUUUGCAGUAAAAUUAUACGUCUGGAGUGCAAUGGAUUGACGCCCCUAGAAGGUGAAUUAGGGGUUGCACGAGUCAGUCAGUGAAAAAAAAAAAGAAAAAAUAUAAAAAAAUAAAUCGAAAAUCAUCGAUUGAAUCUAACUGUAGACAAAAGAAACUGAGAAUGGAAGAGAAGACAGCUUCAAAUGGCUAAAAUUCGAGUCGGUGUUUGGCGAGAUCCUUUUUAAGAGUCUUGAGUUACUCGCUGCUAUUCAUCUUUUAUUUUAUUCUAUUUUUUUAUAUGUUUGAGAAAGGGCUUAACCUUUUACUAGGAUGAAAAGUCAAGAUUGAGAAUGAUUAAUGAGAAACAUGUCGAUAACUUUUACAACAUGGUUU